CAUACGUACUUUAUUUUGUCCAUCCAGUUUAUCAUUUCAAUCAAUCCUUAUAGUAAUUAUCAUCAUACAAAAACCUAAUUGUAAUUUCUUUCUCAGAUUUCUUCAGUUUUCUCAAAAUUAGGGUUUGUUCAUCAAAUCCAGAUCGAAAGAUUCCUCAUUUCCCCCUUUUUUCGCUCUAUAAAAGAUAUAGAUAGAUAUUGUGUAGAAUAGUUGAAUAAUGGAUUACAAUCAGUCUGUUAGAGCUAGGCGUCCUGCUCGUAAUAACAAUAACAGUUACCAUGGAAAUAAUAAUAAUUAUAACGAGUACGGAAACGAGGGGUACGAUAAUCAGAGAUAUGGUUAUCAUCAGGAGGAGGAGGAUGAGGUUGAAGAAGAAGACGAUGAAGAAGAAGAAGAUGAUAAUAACGAAUAUGAACGCGGAUAUUAUCGUGUUUCUGGUGGAAUGGAUGCAGGUGAGUCGUCUAGGCGUCAUCAUCAGAAGAAACGGAGAUUGGAUAAUUUGGUUGGGAAUUAUGAGUAUGCACCUCGUGGGUCGAAUGUUGGUGGCGGCGGCGGCGGUGGUGCGGAUGAGUGGAGUGAGAAUGCGACGUUUGUGUUGUUGGAGGUUUGGGGUGAUAGGUAUAUGGAGUUAGGGAGGAGGAGUUUAAGAGGCGAGGAUUGGGUUGAGGUUGCGGAGAAGGUGUCGGAGAUGUGUAAGAUGGAGAUUAACGAGACGCAGUGUAGGAACAGGUUAGAGACGUUGAAGAAAAAGUAUAAGAAAGAGAAGGGGAAAAUGGAGGAUAUGGGGAUGGGUGGGAGAGGUAUAGAAGGGUAUCAUGGUAAAUGGGGUUUCUUUAAAAAGAUGGAUAUGUUGUUUUCUCCAAAGAGGCAACAUAACGGUUUGCCUUGUGGGGUUGAUUCUGGGGAGUAUGUGUUUAUGAAUACGAAGGUUUAUUUGAACCAGUCGAAUGCUAUGGAUGAGAUGAGAGAUAGUCCCGGAGAGUCAGAGUCUGAUGAAGAUGACGAGGAUAAUCAGAAAGAUGAUGAGGGGUUUAGGUUGUUGGCUGAAUCGGUUCAGAAUUUUGGGGAGAUUUAUGAGAAGAUUGAGGGUAGGAAGAGACAGCAGAUGAUGGAGUUAGAGCAGAUGAGGCAGGAUUUUCAGAGAGAGUUGGAGCUGCAGAAGAAGCAGAUUCUUGAGAAGGCACAGGCCGAGAUUGCAAAGAUAAGGGAAGGAGAUGACGAAGACGUUAACUCUGCAGAGAAUUUAAGUGGAUAAGCAGCUGUGGCAGAGCAACCUAAAGGGUAGAGAUACUAACUGAAGUAACAGCUGCUGUACCUUAUCAAUGUAUCCUGCGCCUCCAUCCUUCUGCCUUCUUUCUCCCCCCACUGGGAGAUCUCAAACACGAGACCAGUGCACCUGACAUGGGUUGCAAUUCUUUAGACAAAGGGUGCUCAGCUUUUGAGUCUUUGUAAUCGAAGUCAUUCAGGUUUUGCAGUUUUGUACCAAUUGAUGCAUAGAAUUGACCAAUUUAAGCAAAUGGAGAAUAGCAUAGAAUUGACCAAUUUAAAUUGAAUUGAC